UGUUUCUUGCAGGAGCCCCCCGCUGGAUCAGGGCCCCGCUGGACCUCAAAGGACCCGCCGCUGCAGCGUCUGCCUGGAGAGCCGCGGCCUGGGGGGAGAAGCGACGAUGGAGGCCCUCCCCAGGAAUUUGGGGCCCCCAAGUGACAAGCUGCCCAGUCCUCCCAGCACAGGGGCCCCCUCCUGCACCCUGGAAAGCCUCAAGAGGAAAGGAGGACUGGACGUGGACUCUCCCCCCAAGAAACUGUUUGUGGCCGGAGUUCCCCAAACACCCCCAGCCCUGUAGCCGUCCUGCACACCCCCUCGAGAGAAGAUCCGAGGGCCCGCUGAGUCCCCAAGCCGGAGGGGCAGCAGUGCCUGUCAGCUGAUAUCGGACCUGCCCCCCCUCACCCAUUGCCCAGGCAUGUGGGGCCAGCCGGGCUACCAGCUGGCCUUGGCUACUGGGGGGCAGGGCUCAAUGGCCCUAGAGAAGGGCUGGGGCUCCUUCUCAGAAAAAGCCUUGGUGGGCAUUGGGGGAGACAGACAGGGUGGUUGUGUUCUGGGGGGGGUGUUGGGGAAAUGAGUGCCCACCUUGGCAGCAGCCCUGCCUUCACCCCGUCCUGCUCCCCGCCGUCCCCUCCUCAGACGGCCUCUGCCACCCCUCCACCCCAUUGCUUAGAAAGGUCUCGUAGGGGUCCUUCCUUCCCCAGUUGGGGCCCUGAGCAGGUGUGGGGGGGGGAAAUGAAGGGAGGGGGCAGACACACUUUCUGCAUUUUAAAGAAGGUCCUGAGUAAAACGGAAGCAUCUGCCGGAAAUUGUACUUCUGGGUGGCGGAGGGGGCGGUCACCCCCCCUCAAGAAACCUAAACAAAGCACAACAGGAAGUGGACGGGUGGUGCUGUUGGUGCCCCAUUUUGAAGGGGUGCCACUCCUCCCCCCCACACACACACACACAACACAGCUGCCAUCCACAUUAGGAGCGCCAACCAAAGAGCAGCGGCGGGCCUGG